rnacentral:rRNA from 1 species
CGGACGGGUGAGUAACACGUAGGUAACCUGCCUCACACAGGGGGAUAACAGUUAGAAAUGACUGCUAAUACCGCAUAAGCGCACAGGGCCGCAUGGCCCGGUGUGAAAAGCUCCGGCGGUGUGAGAUGGACCUGCGUCUGAUUAGCCAGUUGGCGGGGUAACGGCCCACCAAAGCGACGAUCAGUAGCCGGCCUGAGAGGGUGGACGGCCACAUUGGGACUGAGACACGGCCCAA